AGCAUCUGUGGCGCGCACGUGGUAGACGCCAGAAGGAGACAGACGCACACACCGACACGGGCAUAUGUUCUUCUGUCCGUUUUGUUCUACGCUGCUGCUCGUGGUGCCGCAUGUGGAGGGCAACGCGCUCGCGUGUGCCACGUGCCGCUACGUCCACUCCGUCGCCAGCGCGAGCCCGCAAGUCCCCAGAAACGCGUUCGGUGAGCCAAUCCUCACCAUCCAGCACUCCUUUGUGUCGCACAACCGUCAACUCAUGGACGCUGAGGAAGAUCCGGCGAUGGAGGCGGCGGCUUCGUCCAGCGCCGCGGCGUGCCACACAACCGCUGCGUUCGCUCCAGUAGGCAAGGCGGAGACCUCCGCGGAGGGAGGCCAGAUCACGACGAUUCCGUGCCAGAACGAAGACAACCCGUGCCAGAGCACCAAGGCCUACUUUAUUCAAAUCCAAAUGCGUUCUGCUGACGAGCCGGCAACCGUGUUCUUCAAGUGCGUCGAGUGCGGCCAUCAGUGGCGACAGGACUAAGCUCCUCACCAGGAAGAGGCCAAAGGAACGGAACUAAGGGUGAGCUCACUCAAACGAAAAACAACGGAGCACUCGCUUGGUAUUCAGCACCUGCGCCCCGCGUGGGUGGGUGGGGGGCUGCCAUGCAUUGUCAACCACCACGGGGCGACAAGGCAGCGUGUGUAGCGCUCCGAUAGCAGCGCAGGCUUGCGACCAGAAUUGUUUUGCUCGUCUCUGUUGCUGCGGCCCCUUGGACUGUGUCGCCGAGGCAAUGGCAGCCCAUGUCGACCGGCACGCCAGCGCCAAAACGAGAUCAAGAUGAGUCAUCAUCGUGUCACUUUCACCUUUGCUCCCCACUCACCCCCACCCUUUACGCCCGCUCCCUUCUCGAGGGUUGUGCUACCCAUCUGGUCUUGUGCCAUCUCCGCCUUUUUCUCCAUGCGAACCUGCACCUGCAG
rnacentral:misc_RNA from 1 species